GAUGAACGCUGGCUACGUGCCUAAUACAUGCAAGUCGAGCGAACAGACGAGGAGCUUGCUCUUCUGACGUUAUCGGCGGACGGGCGAGUAACACGUGGAUAACCUACCUAUCUGGCUGUGAUAACUUCGGGAAACCGGAGCUAAUACCGGAUAAUAUAUUUCACCGCCUGGUUCCAUAGUGAAAUAAGGGUUUGCUGUCACUUAUAGAUGGAUCCGCGCCGCAGUAGCUAGUUGGUAAGGUAACGGCUUACCAAGGCGACGAUGCGUAGCCGACCUGAAAGGAGGAUCGGCCACACUGGAACUGAGACACGGUCCAGACUACUACGGGAGGCAGCAGUAGAGAAUCUUCCGCAAGGGGAGGAAGCCUGACGGAGCAACGCCGCGUGGGUGAUGAAGGGCUUCGGAUCGGAAAACUCUGUUAUUAGGGAAGAACAAAUGUGUAAGGAACUAGGCACGUCUUGACGGUACCUAAUCAGAAAGCCACGGCUAACUACGUG
rnacentral:rRNA from 1 species